rnacentral:rRNA from 1 species
AACGAACGCUGGCGGCAUGCCUAACACAUGCAAGUCGAACGAGACCUUCGGGUCUAGUGGCGCACGGGUGCGUAACGCGUGGGAAUCUGCCCUUGGGUUCGGAAUAACUCGCCGAAAGGCGUGCUAAUACCGGAUGAUGUCGUAAGACCAAAGAUUUAUCGCCCAGGGAUGAGCCCGCGUAAGAUUAGGUAGUUGGUGGGGUAAAAGCCUACCAAGGCGACGAUCAGUAGCCGACCUGAGAGGGUGAUCGGCCACAUUGGAACUGAGACACGGUCCAA